UCCUUGCAGGUCCCCCCGGCCCCCCGGGUCCCAUCGGGCCACCCGGCCCCCCAGGACCUGACGUAAGUGCCGGGAGCGCCGGGGUGGGGGGCACGGGGUGGGCUGAGCCCUGUGUGUCCCCCCCCCCAGCUCAUGACACCCACCUUGUCCUUGCACAGGGUAAAGCCGGGGCACCUGGAGCUGCCGGCCCCCCCCGGGGAGAAGGGAGACAGGGGUCCCCAGGGCCACCCAGGCAGCCGUGGACAGGACGGGGCACAGGUACGUUGCUGGGUCGGGCCCCCCCGGGCCGCAGCCCCCCGUGCCCCCCCCCUGCCAGGCCGUCUCCUUUCUGUGUUUCAGGGCGAGCCGGGCCCCAGGGGCGAGCCGGGCGAGAAGGGCACUUGGGGGGAGGGUUUGCACCAGCUCCGCGAGGCGCUGAAGAUUUUAGCGGAGAGGGUUUUAAUCUUGGAAACAAUGAUUGGGCUCUACGGCCAGUAGCUUCCAAACCCUCCUGCGGCAGCAGGCCCGGCUGGAGGUCCUGGCUAGAAGGGUCACCUUGCUGGAAGCCAUCAUCUGGCCAGAACCAGAGCCCGGCUCAGGCAGCGGCCCCCCCCGGCACGGUGGCACCCGGACCCCCCCGCAGCAAGCGGGGUGGCAGCAACCAGCCCCCUUACCGCAUCGUGGCCCCCCACCGGCGCCCCCCCGGCAAGCAGUGACGGAUCCUGGAGUGGGGGGGGGGUCACCCGCUGUUACCCGCCCCCCCCCCAACCCUGCGCCCACCGCCGUGCCGGUACGGGCAGGAGCGUCGCCCUGGGGGAGGGGGGGCACGAUGGGGGUCACCCCCCCCCCCCCAGCCCCCUGGUCCCGCAGGGCACUUGGUGCUAGCCGGUAGCACGGCACCGGCCCCCCCCCCCUCUCUGCUUUGCCCCCCAUCGCUGCUGCUUGAACCCCCCCCCCCCGGGGGGCGUGGGGGGGCAAAAGGGUGUCAGGACCCCCCCCCUGCCCCUUUUCUGCCCCCACCCCAAUGUGCAGCUCUGGGGGUGCUUCAUUUCUUCCCCAGCCCGAGCCCCCGCGGCCACCCCUGCCCCGGGGAAGGGACCCCGGGGGGGGCCGGCGGUGGGGACCCCCCCCCCCCCAGCUUCGUCCCGCUGCUUUGGGACCCUCGAGGGUCAUUAAACGUCUCUUGAACCCGUG
rnacentral:lncRNA from 1 species